UAGGGAAUCUUCCGCAAUGGGCGAAAGCCUGACGCAGCAACGCCGCGUGAGUGAUGAAGGUCUUCGGAUCGUAAAACUCUGUUAUUAGGGAAGAACACAUGUGUAAGUAACUAUGCACGUCUUGACGGUACCUAAUCAGAAAGCCACGGCUAACUACGUGCCAGCAGCCGCGGUAAUACGUAGGUGGCAAGCGUUAUCCGGACUUAUUGGGCGUAAAGCGCGCGUAGGCGGUUUUUUAAGCCUGAUGUGAAAGCCCACGGCUCAACCGUGGAGGGACAUUGGAAACUGGAAAACUUGAGUGCAGAAGAGGAAAGUGGAAUUCCAUGUGUAGCGGUGAAAUGCGCAGAGAUAUGGAGGAACACCAGUGGCGAAGGCGACUUUCUGGUCUGUAACUGACGCUGAUGUGCGAAAGCGGGGGGAUCAAACAGG
rnacentral:rRNA from 1 species